CAGCCCGGCUGCAAGCCUGCCUCCCCCCACUUCCCAGCCGCAGCAGCUUGGGCAGGUCUUGAAGCGCCGGUGUGUCUCCGUUCCUUCAUCUGUAAGACGGAGCCCGUGGUAGAGGAUAACCGGACCGUCUCGCGGGGCUUGGAACAGGAAACGAGUUAGUCCACCCGAAAGUGCUUGGAGUGGACCUGGCACAUACCAAGUCCACCUCCCUGCGACUCCCACUCACCGAUCCCAGCUCUGCCAGAAGGCAAAUGUCAAGAAAAUAUUCUUGAAAGAGAGAACAUAGAAGACCCAAGUAUGCUGUCAGACCGCCAUGGGAUCAAGUCACUCCAAAUGUACAAAGAUUGGACAGUUCAGCUCCCCAGUGACUCCUGUUAAAAAGGAUUUGAAAUGGAAUUUUUCAGCGUUGAGAGUUGAGAAGGUUCUGGAGACCCACUACCCCCCACUAUCCGGAGGAAAGAAGAGUGUCUUGGCCAUAGGAGGGUGUUCAAAUGAUGACUUGGAUCAUCAGAUGCUAAACUCAAGACAGCUGGCUGAGCGAGCCCCGUGCUAUCUCCCCUCAAAGACGAUAUUUGCAGGAGGAAGAAAUCUCAGAGAUACUCAGUGCAGCCCCAAGGACCCCUGGCACCGAGGUAUCCAGCAGAACACAGGUGACCAGCAGAGAAGGUUCGAUGCUGCAGGGAGUCACACUGUGGCUCAGAAAAGGGUGCCUCCACCAAGGCCAGGGGGCAUCAGGCUUCGUGCAGAGAUGGCUUGCAUCUCACACACCUUCUCCCAUCAUCUCCCUGGACCACCGAAGAAAAAUUAGAAUGCAGCACCUGGGUGACUCAGUGGUUAAGCCUCUGCCUUCGGCUCAGGUCAUGAUCUCAGGGUCUUGGGAUCGAGCCCCGCAUCAGGCUCUCUGCUCAGCGGGGAGCCUGCUCCCCCCCCUCUCUGCCUGCCUCUCUGACUACUUGUGAUCUCUGUAAAAUAAAUAAAGAAAAUCUUAAAAA